rnacentral:rRNA from 1 species
AUUGAACGCUGGCGGCAUGCCUUACACAUGCAAGUCGAACGGUAACGGGCCUUCGGGUGCCGACGAGUGGCGAACGGGUGAGUAAUACAUCGGAACGUGCCCGAUCGUGGGGGAUAACGAGGCGAAAGCUUUGCUAAUACCGCAUACGAUCUACGGAUGAAAGCAGGGGACCGCACGGCCUUGCGCGGCCGGAGCGGCCGAUGGCAGAUUAGGUAGUUGGUGGGAUAAAAGCUUACCAAGCCGACGAUCUGUAGCUGGUCUGAGAGGAUGAUCAGCCACACUGGGACUGAGACACGGCCCAGACUCCUACGGGAGGCAGCAGUGGGGAAUUUUGGACAAUGGGCGCAAGCCUGAUCCAGCCAUGCCGCGUGCAGGAUGAAGGCCUUCGGGUUGUAAACUGCUUUUGUACGGAACGAAAAGCCUUCUUUUAAUACAGGAGGGUCAUGACGGUACCGGAAGAAUAAGCACCGGCUAACUACGUG